GGGAUCAGGAUUCCUGUAUUAUAAUGUGCAUGAAUGAAGUAAGUGUUAAGUAAUAAUUUUUGCUUUUGUCUUGUAAUAAAGCUGCUUAUUUCCAUUUGUCCCUUUUCUUGUUUCAUUUCUGAUGAAGAAAAAUAAGAUUGCAAGCUUUCACUAACUGGUUGCUGGUUCUGUUAAUAAAAUAGCAAAAUUCAAAUAUGAUCGGGAUUUUUCUUGGGUAAGAUAAUAUGAUUUAGGCUUGCCAAAGAUAUGAGAAAUUUAAAAAAUCUGUUAUUUCUGCUGUCAACUAGUUUAGUUAUUACAUUGUUUGCAAUAAGAUUAGAAUGUAGUAUUUUGUGCUUGUGAACAGUGGAGCUCGUACUAAAGGAGGUUUUUGCUUGUGGAGGUUGUUGUGCAGUGAAGCAACGGAGCCUUUGUCUUAUGAUGCAUCGAUAGAGUUGACGAACCACUAAACUAAAUAAGAUUUUGUUAGUUUCUUUUCUAUAGGUGGUUCCAUGUGCUCAUUUUUCUUUCUUUUUUUUAUUUCCCUUUUUGUUUCCUGAGGAAAGAUAUGCAGUAACACUAGGAUUUCAUUGAUUGCUAAAACUGGUGGAGGAGAAUGUUAUAAGAGUAGAACUUGCUCCUCUUGCAUCCUAACGGCCUCCAUUUGCUUCUCUGCCCCCAUGAACUCUGACCCUUGCUCUAGCUCUAACCCUAGUGCCAUGGUGUCGGGGGUGCUCUGCAAUAUGGAGGCCUGGUCCCUCCGGAAGCCCCCCGCCAGCAUGGAAGAGGAAGAUGAAGGGGCUCCUUAAGUCAAAGCCACAGAUGCCGGCUGAUGUCAUGUGGCAGACACAGGAACUCCUAAUCUACAUUGACCUUAACUGGAAUCCUUGGAAAGGCCAAGUGGAAGGAAAAGGUGCUGAUACCCGACCUCUUUCUUCUUCUUCCAUCCUUUUUGACCUUCUUGUUAUGCACAUUUUCUUUUCUUUCUUUUUAUUUCUCUAAAAUAGACAAUUUGCUGCAAGUAGAUUUUUUAUUCUAGUUUGCUGCAAGUAUAUUUUUGGAAUCCUUUUAUACAAGUAGAUCUGUCAGUUAUUUUAGUUUUCUUAUUAUGUAGUGGCCAUAUGCUAAUCUAAAUUACACUUUGCAGUCGGAGUUUAAUGGUUCUGAAAAUCUUGAAUUUCCAGAAUUCUAUAAGAAAACGCAUACCAAGAAGAACAAAAAGUGGAUUGAUCCUAUUUGCACUGUGAAACAUGUAGUCAAAGAUGUUGAGCUUGCGAGAAGAAUCUUCCCAAUCCGGUGUGCAAUUAACAUCAGAGGAGAUGUCUAGGCAGGCACUUGGAAAAAGAAAGAGAUACAUUCUUGGAUUUGGGGAUGGGCCGAAGCCUUCUUCAUCUUCUUCCACAUCUAGUCGUGUGUCAUAAGACCAUGUUGGGGAGUUGCAGAAACUUAAAGCUAAGAUGGAGGAGAUGAAGAUGGAGCGUGAGAUACAGCGUGAGGAGCUGCGGAGGCAAUUGGAGCAGGAGAGGAGAGAGCGUGAGGAGGAAAAGAAAGAGCGAGAGGAAGAACAGAAGCAAAUUGUACAUCUUACAAGUUUGGUGACAGAGUUCUUAAAGGGAAAGACUCAAACGCACAAGUCAUCUAUCCAUCAUGAUGGGGCCAUGUAUUCAACUGGUGGUACAAAUACUCGUUGAUACAUGGUGGAGUUAUGAGCAUGUGAAAUCUAGUUUCUGGUACAUGGAUAACUUUUGUUCAGAUGAUCAUGGUGGAGUUGUCUACAAGCAGAAUCCAGUUUUUGGUAUAAGAAUAUUUUUGUGUACAUGAUGGUUGUUUGGAUGAAUAGCAACAUCAGAUAUUUUGGAAUUGUUAAUUUACAUUUUGAUGUGUUUGGUGAUGAUUAUCACCUUAA